AGUGAACGCUGGCGGUAGGCCUAACACAUGCAAGUCGAACGGCAGCACAGUAAGAGCUUGCUCUUACGGGUGGCGAGGGGCGGACGGGUGAGGAAUACAUAGGAAUCUAAUUUGUCGUGGGGGAUAACGUAGGGAAACUUACGCUAAUACCGCAUACGACCUACGGGUGAAAGCAGGGGAGCUACGGAGCUUGCGCGAUUGAAUGAGCCGCUGUCGGAUUAGCUAGUUGGCGGGGUAAAGGCCCACCAAGGCGACGAUCCGUAGCUGGCCCGAGAGGAGGGUCGCCCCCCCUGCACCUGAGCCCCGGCCCAGCCCCCUACGGGCGCCACCGUUGGGCAUUUUUGGACAUGGGGCGCAAGCUUGCUCCAGCCCUCCCGCGUGGUUGAAGAAGUCCUCCGGUUUGUAAAGCCCUUUUGUUGGGAAAGAAAUGCAUCAGGUUAAUACCCCGCUUUUCUGACGGUACCCAACGAAUAAGCACCGGCUACCUUCGU
rnacentral:rRNA from 1 species